AUUGAACGCUGGCGGCAGGCCUAACACAUGCAAGUCGAACGGUAACAGGAAACAGCUUGCUGUUUCGCUGACGAGUGGCGGACGGGUGAGUAAUGUCUGGGAAACUGCCUGAUGGAGGGGGAUAACUACUGGAAACGGUAGCUAAUACCGCAUAACGUCGCAAGACCAAAGAGGGGGACCCUCGGGCCUCUUGCCAUCGGAUGUGCCCAGAUGGGAUUAGCUUGUUGGUGGGGUAACGGCUCACCAAGGCGACGAUCCCUAGCUGGUCUGAGAGGAUGACCAGCCACACUGGAACUGAGACACGGUCCAGACUCCGACGGGAGGCAGCAGUGGGGAAUAUUGCACAAUGGGCGCAAGCCUGAUGCAGCCAUGCCGCGUGUAUGAAGAAGGCCUUCGGGUUGUAAAGUACUUUCAGCGGGGAGGAAGGGAGUAAAGUUAAUACCUGUGCUCAUUGACGUUACCCGCAGAAGAAGCACCGGCUAACUCCGU
rnacentral:rRNA from 1 species